rnacentral:rRNA from 1 species
UACGUAGGGGGCAAGCGUUGUCCGGAUUCAUUGGGCGUAAAGAGCGUGUAGGCGGCCAGGUAGGUCGGUUGUGAAAACUGGAGGCUCAACCUUCAGAGGUCGACCGAAACCAUCUGGCUAGAGUCCGGGAGAGGAGAGUGGAACUGCGAGUGUAGAGGUGAAAUUCGUAGAUAUUCGCAAGAACACCAGUGGCGAAGGCGGCUCACUGGCCCGGUACUGACGCUGAGGUGCGAAAGCGUGGGGAGCAAACAGG